rnacentral:rRNA from 1 species
CGGGUGAGUAACACGUGGAUAACCUACCUAUAAGACUGGGAUAACUUCGGGAAACCGGAGCUAAUACCGGAUAAUAUCUUGAACCGCAUGGUUCAAAAGUGAAAGACGGUCUUGCUGUCACUUAUAGAUGGAUCCGCGCUGCAUUAGCUAGUUGGUAAGGUAACGGCUUACCAAGGCAACGAUGCAUAGCCGACCUGAGAGGGUGAUCGGCCACACUGGAACUGAGACACGGUCCAG